rnacentral:lncRNA from 1 species
AUGUAAAAUAGGGAUUCAUUCCCAAACAGUCCUCAUUGUGACAGAAUUCUCAUUGCCCAGCAGGAAUGGCACUCCAGAACACAGCCAGCCUUCUGACCAAGUCACUCAGAGCAACACUCUUCUGUGAAUUUUAGUUCCUUUCUAUUGGGAAAUAUUUCAUGUAGUUAUCAUCAAUCAUCUUUUAGUUAAGUAAGCAAUUAACAGCCCACACAGUUAGACCCACAGCUACCCAGGUCAUGUCUCUGCUGUCUAAGACCCACAACACAAGAACUAAUUAAUCUAGGCUGAACUAUCUGAUCUUCAUUCAUGUCCCAGAGGUACAUACAAAUGAGCAGCAAAGGCGAGGCAUGGUGGCGCACAUUUGUAAUCCCAGCACUUUAAAGAUGGAGGCAGGAGAAUCACUUGAACCCGGGAGGCGGAGGUUACAGUGAGCCGAGAUCGUGCCAGUGCACUCCAGCCUGGGUGACAAGGAGCAACACUCCGUCUGA